GUGCUAUUAGCUCAGUCGGUAGAGCAUCAGAUUGUGGCUCUGAGGGCCGAGGGUUCGAGUCCCCCAUAGCACC
rnacentral:tRNA from 1 species